UACGUAGGGUGCGAGCGUUGUCCGGAAUUAUUGGGCGUAAAGAGCUCGUAGGCGGCUUGUCGCGUCGGUUGUGAAAGCCCGGGGCUUAACCCCGGGUCUGCAGUCGAUACGGGCAGGCUAGAGUUCGGUAGGGGAGACUGGAAUUCCUGGUGUAGCGGUGAAAUGCGCAGAUAUCAGGAGGAACACCGGUGGCGAAGGCGGGUCUCUGGGCAAUAACUGACGCUGAGGAGCGAAAGCGUGGGGAGCGAACAGG
rnacentral:rRNA from 1 species